UCACUUGAUGAAUUAUUUUUAUCUUUCUCAUUCUAGGUUUUAUCAUCUGUAAAAUGAGUAGGGUUGGACUAAGAUGGCCACCAAGAUCCCUUCCAGAUCCAAAUCCAUUGUCCUAUGGCCUGAUGUCUUAUACUUUUUCAAAAAUCCUCCAAAGAUAUAGAAUCUCAGUCCCAUAGAAGUGAUGUGAUUUACCUACAAGUAGGAGCUCAAGAAUUUGAAUCCAGAUCUUCUAAUCCAAGUCUAUAGUGCCAA
rnacentral:lncRNA from 1 species